rnacentral:rRNA from 1 species
CGAUUGAGUUUGAUCAUGGCUCAGGAUGAACGCUGCGCGGCGUGCCUAAUACAUGCAAGUCGAGCGCGAAGAUCAGGAGCUUGCUCCUGAGAUUCGAGCGGCGGACGGGUGAGUAACACGUAGGCAACCUACCCUUGAGAUUGGGAUAACUACCGGAAACGGUAGCUAAUACCGGAUACGACAUUCCUGCAUAAGUAAGAAUGUUAAAAGGCGGAUUUAUCUGCCGCUCAUGGAUGGGCCUGCGGUGCAUUAGCUAGUUGGUGAGAUAGUAGCUCACCAAGGCGACGAUGCAUAGCCGACCUGAGAGGGUGAUCGGCCACACUGGGACUGAGACACGGCCCAGACUCCUACGGGAGGCAGCAGUAGGGAAUCUUCCGCAAUGGACGCAAGUCUGACGGAGCAACGCCGCGUGAGUGAUGAAGGGUUUCGGCUCGUAAAACUCUGUUGUUAAGGAAGAACACUUGAGGUAGUAACUGGCCUUGAGAUGACGGUACUUAACCAGAAAGCCACGGCUAACUACGUGCCAGCAGCCGCGGUAAUACGUAGGUGGCAAGCGUUAUCCGGAAUUAUUGGGCGUAAAGCGCGCGUAGGCGGUAAAAUAAGUCUGAUGUGAAAGCCCCCGGCUCAACCGGGGAGGGUCAUUGGAAACUGUUUUACUUGAGUACAGAAGAGGAGAGUGGAAUUCCAUGUGUAGCGGUGAAAUGCGCAGAGAUAUGGAGGAACACCAGUGGCGAAGGCGGCUCUCUGGUCUGUAACUGACGCUGAGGUGCGAAAGCGUGGGGAUCAAACAGGAUUAGAUACCCUGGUAGUCCACGCCGUAAACGAUGAGUGCUAAGUGUUGGGGGGUUUCCGCCCC